UUUGGCUCCCAAAAAUCAGGGCCCCUGAUUCAUCGCAUUGUUUGUGACUCAUACCCUACCAGGUGUUGAAAAUUCAAACUGACAAUCAUCUCAAAACGAUUCACGAAUUUUGUUCUCACGAUCAAUCUUACUCAUACCGCACAUUGUGGAUGUAGAAUUACGCCCGCCCUGCAUCUGCAUACAUUAAAGUGCAACGCUUCACAGUCAUGACACACUGCUGACCAGCGCGAGCAGUAGAUCAUUGCAACGAUUCGACAUUGUGUGUCAAGUAAACGGGAACGCAAUGAUGACGUUAAUGAUUAUUGCUGAUAAAAUAUGUACGGCAAGUCAAAUCAAUCUGAGCUACUAUUGAUGGAUGUGCAAUUUAAGUAACCCGUUUUAGAAUUCCUUCGUUCAGUAAGGAAUUGAACUUGUCCCGGUUAAGACGAUGCUACGUUUCGUUAUCGUUUUGUACUCGGUAGUUAGUUUGUCAAGGGCGGCACCGACUGUGCACCUUGGAGAAUCAUCCACAGAUGAUUAUGAAUACAACACAAUGCUUCCGCCAAUAACUAGAACACGAAGGCCCCUAAUUGAAACUCCUUACGUAGACCCAAAUUAUUUCAAUUAUAAUCAACCAACCACUACUGUCCAUCCACCAGUUUUCCAACAGCCAGAGUCAUAUCCGCAGCUUCCUCAGUUUUCCAGCAACCAGCCACCAGUUUUCCAGCAGCCAGAGUCACAGCCGCAGCUUCCCCAGGUCCAGUAUCACUAUUACCAACCGUACAAUAUGCAUCCUUAUCAUGUGCAACCUUCGUUCGGCUACCAGUGGCAAAAUACGGUACAGCCGGCGAACACUAACGUCGUGCCUUGUACCAAUCCGCAGCACUAUGGCGGUUAUCAGCAGUACGGUUAUUGAUGUAGGCCCUUUCCCAAAGGAUCCAACCCCGCAGCAAAUCUUCCGUGAUUGUUACAUAAAAGCAAACACUCGUCAAUUAUCCUCUAUACAGCUCUAAUUUUACGAAUGAAAUCACUUCAAAGUCCAUUUGUCCUCAGCGCGAUUAUGUAGCGGUUCAAGCAGCGAAACGAUACGCUUUCAAAGCUUCCCAAAUCUUCCUGCUCCACCAUCAAAUCCCGCCGGCAAGCAAGCAAGCAGAGGAGUUCUGGUUCUGGUUUUUCCGCUGGUUGGACAAACAAAGCUCGACUCUUGCGGAGCCCAAGCAUGAAGGGGGAAAGAAAUGACGGCAGCUCAGAGCGCACUCGAUUAAAUUCAAACAAUUUCGAUAAUCCCGCACCACCCACUUCUGUUACUCACUGUUGCCGCAGAAGCUGCCCGAAGACGACACUGGCGAUGGAUCAUUUGGAUUUUCUUUGGGAAUGGCGCUUCUGGGAAUACACUUUUCGAUGGAUGCUGAAGCUGGGAACUAACCUGGGCUUUUUCGGAACAAAAAUGAGCUAAUAAUUAUAUGAAUUAGUGACAAAUUGGUCAGUCAGUGGUUUAAUAAUAAUAAUGCAAAAGUGGUUCUAUUUAUUAAAAAAAAUCAAAUUAAAGUAUUUUCAUCUGUGUUGAGUUUAAAAGUUUGAUCGUAUGUUUUGUGUAUUGUAUACUUUGGAAAAAAGCUCUCAGUUAAAAACUGUGGAAGUGCUUGUCCCAGUGAGGACGUUAUUCCAAGAAGAAUAUUUUCCACCUUUUGGUAUUUUCUGCCUG